rnacentral:rRNA from 1 species
AACGAACGCUGGCUGCAUGCCUAACACAUGCAAGUCGAACGGCUGCAGCAAUGCAUCAGUGGCAGACGGGUGAGUAACACGUGGGAAUCUACCCAGUAGCCUGGAAUAACCGCGGGACACUGCGGCUAAUAACGGAUACGCCCCUCGGGGGAAAGGAGCAAUCCACUAUUGGAGGAACCCGCGUCCGUUUAGCUAGUUGGUGAGGUAAUGGCUCACCAAGGCGAUGAUCGGUAGCUGGUUUGCGAGGACGACCAACCACACUGGGACUGAGACACGGCCCAGACUCUUUCGGGAGGCAGCAGUGGGGAAUAUGGGACAAUGGGGGAAACCCUGAUCCAGCAAUGCCGCGUGGGUGAUGAAGGCCUUCGGGUUGUAAAGCCCUUCUGGCGGGGACGAUGAUGACGGUACCCGCAGAAGAAGCCCCGGCUAACUUCGUGCCAGCCGCCGCAGUAA